AACACAUGCAAGUCGAACGGGCACUUCGGUGUCAGUGGCAGACGGGUGAGUAACACGUGGGAACGUACCUUUUGGUUCGGAACAACUGAGGGAAACUUCAGCUAAUACCGGAUAAGCCCUUACGGGGAAAGAUUUAUCGCCGAAAGAUCGGCCCGCGUCUGAUUAGCUAGUUGGUAGGGUAAUGGCCUACCAAGGCGACGAUCAGUAGCUGGUCUGAGAGGAUGAUCAGCCACAUUGGGACUGAGACACGGCCCAAACUCCUACGGGAGGCAGCAGUGGGGAAUAUUGGACAAUGGGGGCAACCCUGAUCCAGCCAUGCCGCGUGAGUGAUGAAGGCCCUAGGGUUGUAAAGCUCUUUUGUGCGGGAAGAUAAUGACGGUACCGCAAGAAUAAGCCCCGGCUAACUUCGUGCCAGCAGCCGCGGUAAUACGAAGGGGGCUAGCGUUGCUCGGAAUCACUGGGCGUAAAGGGUGCGUANGCGGGUUUUUAAGUCAGAGGUGAAAUCCUGGAGCUCAACUCCAGAACUGCCUUUGAUACUGGAAAUCUUGAGUAUGGGAGAG
rnacentral:rRNA from 1 species